rnacentral:rRNA from 1 species
AUAAGGUUAAGUUAAUAAGGGCGCACGGUGGAUGCCUUGGCACUAGGAGCCGACGAAGGACGUGACAAACGACGAUAUGCCUUGGGUAGCUGUAAGUAAGCGAUGAUCCAGGGAUUUCCGAAUGGGGGAACCCAACAGGUAAUACCUGUUACCCACAUCUGUUAAGGAUGUGAGGAGGAAGACGCAGUGAACUGAAACAUCUAAGUAGCUGCAGGAAGAGAAAGCAAAAGCGAUUGCCUUAGUAGCGGCGAGCGAAACGGCAGAAGGGCAAACCGAAGAGUUUACUCUUCGGGGUUGUAGGACUGCAAUGUGGACUCAAAGAUUAUAGAAGAAUGAUUUGGGAAGAUCAGCCAAAGAGAGUAAUAGCCUCGUAUUUAAAAUAGUCUUUGUACCUAGCAGUAUCCUGAGUACGGCGGGACACGUGAAAUCCCGUCGGAAUCUGGGAGGACCAUCUCCCAACCCUAAAUACUCCCUAGUGACCGAUAGUGAACCAGUACCGUGAGGGAAAGGUGAAAAGCACCCCGGGAGGGGAGUGAAAUAGAACCUGAAACCGUGUGCCUACAACAAGUUCGAGCCCGUUAAUGGGUGAGAGCGUGCCUUUUGUAGAAUGAACCGGCGAGUUACGUUAUGAUGCGAGGUUAAGUUGAAGAGACGGAGCCGUAGGGAAACCGAGUCUGAAUAGGGCGCCUUAGUAUCAUGACGUAGACCCGAAACCAUGUGACCUACCCAUGAGCAGGUUGAAGGUGCGGUAAGACGCACUGGAGGACCGAACCAGGGCACGUUGAAAAGUGCUUGGAUGACUUGUGGGUAGCGGAGAAAUUCCAAACGAACUUGGAGAUAGCUGGUUCUCUCCGAAAUAGCUUUAGGGCUAGCGUCGACAUUAGAGAUUCUUGGAGGUAGAGC